UACGUAGGGGGCAAGCGUUGUCCGGAUUUAUUGGGCGUAAAGAGCGUGUAGGCGGCCUGAAAGGUCAGCUGUGAAAACUCGAGGCUCAACCUCGAGACGUCGGUUGAAACCAUCUGGCUAGAGUCCGGAAGAGGAGAGUGGAAUUCCCGGUGUAGCGGUGAAAUGCGCAGAUAUCGGGAAGAACACCGGUGGCGAAGGCGGGUCUCUGGGCCGAUACUGACGCUGAGGAGCGAAAGCGUGGGGAGCGAACAGG
rnacentral:rRNA from 1 species